rnacentral:snRNA from 17 species
UAACUUACCUGCCAAUUUUCUAAAUGCGAUCAAGUAGGUAUUUAGAAAACUAGAGGAAUUCUCCUUCUUGCACAUCUUUUGGAGAAAUCCUCUUGUCCCAGAAGGGGUUGGCUAAUUUCUGGCUGUUGAGGACAUCGUGCGCAUUGUCGCAGA